rnacentral:rRNA from 1 species
CUACGGGGGGCUGCAGUGGGGAAUAUUGGACAAUGGGGGAAACCCUGAUCCAGCAAUGCCGCGUGUGUGAAGAAGGCCUGCGGGUUGUAAAGCACUUUCGGUUGGGAGGACUGCUUCUAGCACUAAUAUUGUUGGAAGUUGACGUUACCUUCAGAAGAAGCACCGGCUAACUCCGUGCCAGCAGCCGCGGUAAUACGGAGGGUGCAAGCGUUAAUCGGAAUUACUGGGCGUAAAGCGCGCGUAGGCGGCUAGAUCAGUCGGGUGUGAAAGCCCCGGGCUUAACCUGGGAACUGCAUCCGAUACUGUCUAGCUUGAGUACAGGAGAGGAGAGUGGAAUUCCACAUGUAGCGGUGAAAUGCGUAGAUAUGUGGAGGAACACCAAUGGCGAGGGCAGCGCUCUGGACGGAUACUGACGCUGAGGUGCGAAAGCGUGGAGAGCAAACAGGAUUAGAUACCCCGGUAGUC